rnacentral:lncRNA from 1 species
UACUUGUUUUUGUAAUUUCUCCGACACUUUGAAAGAUACAUACUAAAGAACAAGUGCAAAAUGUCAGCUUUAUUGUAAUGAAGAUAUGCUACAUUUAGUCUUAUACAAUUUAAUGGCAUCUUAUAGGAGUUGUUGCCCCUCAAAUGUCUUGAUAUGAGGUUAUUUGAUUAUGACUUCAACUAAGUUCAUUAUAAAGGCAUUUGACCUUGUACAAAAGAUUAGGUGACAAAUGACCUUGAAAAAUGACUACCGGAAGUGACCUUGAGAAAACCGGAAGUAGCCUUUUUUGCAAUUUUUUUCAUCUCAAAGUACCCAGAAUCAAUAUAUUUUGUCAUAUAAAUACAUACACUGAUUACUGGAGACGAAACAUGACUUCCAACAAACCGGAAGUGGCCAAUUAUUUCCCCUUCUACAUACAAUAGUAUAUAGAAACUAUAUAUUUUUGGAAUCAGUGUGAAAUAAGCUAUCAUAUGACACCGGACGUGACAUUUAUUUCACCGGAAGUAGCAUAUUAUCUCCCUUUUAUCACUCAAAAAUAUAAUUAAACCAUUAUUUAUCUCAUCAGUAUAAAGAAACUAUCUUUUUAUCAAAA